GAAUAUUGCACAAUGUGGGAAACCCUGAUGCAGCGACGCCGCGAGAGUGAAGAAGAAUUUCGGUAUGUAAAGCUCUAUCAGCAGGGACGAUAAUGACGGUACCUGGUUAAGAAGCACCGGCUAACUCCGUGCCAGCAGCCGCGGUAAGACGUAGGGGGCAAGCGUUAGCCGGAUUGACUGGGUGUAAAGGGAGAGUAGACGGUCUGGUAAGUCAGGUGUGAAAGCCCGGGGCUCAACCCCGGGAUUGCACUUGAAACUACCCGACUAGAGUGCAGGAGAGGUAAGUGGAAUUCCUAGUGUAGCGGUGAAAUGCGUAGAUAUUAGGAGGAACACCAGUGGCGAAGGCGGCUUACUGGACUGUAACUGACGUUGAGGCUCGAAAGCGUGGGGAGCAAACAG
rnacentral:rRNA from 1 species